rnacentral:rRNA from 1 species
AUUAGAGGAAGUAAAAGUCGUAACAAGGUUUCCGUAGGUGAACCUGCGGAAGGAUCAUUCACAAACGAGUGUUUUAUGGCACUCUUUAAAAAUCCAUAUCCACCUUGUGUGCAAUGUUUGUUGGGAAAGUCUUUUCUUUCCCUUCAUAAAUAUCAACCUAUAUCUUUAACAACAUUCGUCUGAUAACAUAUUAUGAAUAUACUUAAUUCAAAAUAUAACUUUCAACAACGGAUCUCUUGGCUCUCGCAUCGAUGAAGAACGCAGCGAAAUGCGAUACGUAAUGUGAAUUGCAGAAUUCAGUGAAUCAUCGAAUCUUUGAACGCAUAUUGCGCUCUUUGGUAUUCCGAAGAGCAUGCUUGUUUGAGUAUCAGUAAACACCUCAACCUCCUCUUGAUUUUUCAAAAGGAGGGUGGACUUGAGCUAUCCCAACAACCUUUAUCGGUCGGCGGGCGGCUUGAAAUGCAGGUGCAGCUGGACUUUUAUCUGAGCUAAAAGCAUAUCUAUUUAGUCCUCGUCAAACAGGAUUAUUACUUUUGCUGCAGCUAACAUAAAGGAUAAUUGUCCUCUUUGCUGACUGAUGCAGGAUUUUACGACACUUUUAUGUGUUGUUCAACUCGAUCUCAAAUCAAGUAAGACUACCCGCUGAACUUAAGCAUAUCAAUAAGCGGGAGGAA